rnacentral:rRNA from 1 species
UUUGUCCCCCGUAGGAGGUGACGAAUAGGGCUGGCAAGACCGUGCCAGCCGCCGCGGUAAUCCGGCAGCCCGAGUGAUGCCGAUCUUAUGGGCCUAAAGCGUCCGUAGCUGGCCGCGCAAGUCCAUCGGAAAAUCCACCCGCUCAACGGGUGGGCGUCCGGUGGAAACUGUGUGGCUUGGGACCGGAAGGCGCGACGGGUACGUCCGGGGUAGGAGUGAAAUCCCGUAAUCCUGGACGGACCGCCGAUGGCGAAAGCACGUCGCGAAGACGGAUCCGACAGUGAGGGACGAAAGCUAGGGUCUCGAACCGGAUUAGAUACCCGGGUAGUCCUAGCCGUAAACGAUGCCUGCUAGGUGUGGCUCCCACUACGAGUGGGUGCUGUGCCGUAGGGAAGCCGCUAAGCAGGCCGCCUGGGAAGUACGUCCGCAAGGAUGAAACUUAAAGGAAUUGGCGGGGGAGCACUACAACCGGAGGAGCCUGCGGUUUAAUUGGACUCAACGCCGGACAUCUCACCAGCAUCGACUGUAGUAAUGACGAUCAGGUUGAUGACCUUAUCCGAGCUUCAGAGAGGAGGUGCAUGGCCGCCGUCAGCUCGUACCGUGAGGCGUCCUGUUAAGUCAGGCAACGAGCGAGACCCGCAUCCUUACUUGCCAGCAGCACUGCGAAGUGGCUGGGGACAGUAGGGAGACCGCCGUGGCCAACACGGAGGAAGGAACGGGCAACGGUAGGUCAGUAUGCCCCGAAUGUGCUGGGCAACACGCGGGCUACAAUGGUCGAGACAAAGGGUUCCUACUCCGAAAGGAGACGGUAAUCUCAGAAACUCGAUCGUAGUUCGGAUUGUGGGCUGCAACUCGCCCACAUGAAGCUGGAUUCGGUAGUAAUCGCGUGUCAUAAGCGCGCGGUGAAUACGUCCCUGCUCCUUGCACACACCGCCCGUCAAAGCACCCGAGUGAGGUCCGGAUGAGGCUCGUUUCACGAGUCGAAUCUGGGCUCGCAGGGGCUA